GACGAACGCUGGCGGCGUGCUUAACACAUGCGAGUCGAACGAAAAGGCCCUGCUUUUGUUGGUUUCUCGAUUGGCGAACGGGUGAGUAACACGCGAGUAUCCUGCCCUUGACUGUGUGAGAACUUCAGGGAACUCGGGCUAAUACCGGAGAUGAGCUCCUGCUGCAUGUGGGUGGUUGGAGAGUUUCGGCGUUGGUGUAUGGACUGGCAGCUUAUGAGCUUGUUGGUCGGGUAGGUGCUUACCAAGGCUUUGACGGGUAGGCGGCCUGAGAGCGUGGACGGCCACAAUAGGACUACGAUAGGGCGCAGAAUGCUAUGGGAGGCAGCGGUGGGGAACAUUGCAGAAUGGGCGGACGUGUGAUGCAGAAACGCUGCGUGCGGGAAGCCGGGUUUCGGGUUGUAAACAGAUUUGGCAUGUGACGAAGAGUGCGUGACGGUAAUGGGUCAAGAAGCAACGGCUAACUACGUG
rnacentral:rRNA from 1 species